rnacentral:rRNA from 1 species
GACGAACGCUGGCGGCGUGCUUAACACAUGCAAGUCGAACGAUGAAGCCGGAGCUUGCUCUGGUGAAUUAGUGGCGAACGGGUGAGUAACACGUGAGUAACCUGCCCUUGACUCUGGGAUAACUGCGGGAAACUGUAGCUAAUACCGGAUACGACCCUCGGAGGCAUCUCCUGGGGGUGGAAAGAAUUUGGGUCAAGGAUGGACUCGCGGCCUAUCAGCUAGUUGGUGAGGUAAAGGCUCACGAAGGCGACGACGGGUAGCCGGCCUGAGAGGGUGACCGGCCACACUGGGACUGAGACACGGCCCAGACUCCUACGGGAGGCAGCAGUGGGGAAUAUUGCACAAUGGGCGCAAGCCUGAUGCAGCAACGCCGCGUGAGGGAUGACGGCCUUCGGGUUGUAAACCUCUUUUAGCAGGGAAGAAGCGAAAGUGACGGUACCUGCAGAAAAAGCACCGGCUAACUACGUGCCAGCAGCCGCCGUAA